AUAGGAUACUGCUCUCUCCUGGUGCUCCUCCUACGUCUCUUAGUGCUCUUUCAGUGUUUCUUUCUCUGGAUCUGCCUCUUCUCCCCAACCCCUCUUUGUUGGCAUUCCCCAAGGUUCUGUCCUAUACUAUUCUGUAUCUAUACCGUCUCUCUUGGUAAACUCAUCAGCUUCCAUUAUCAUUUAAAUGCAGAUGACAAGCAAAUGUAUCUGUCCUCUCCUGAUCUCUCUCCGCCCAUCUUGACUCGUGCCUCUCUACCAUUUUCAAUUGGAUGGCUGCUCACUUCCUUAAACUCAACCUG